rnacentral:lncRNA from 1 species
ACAGGCAUGAGCCACUGUGCACAGCCUACUUAUAUUAUUUAAAAAACAAUUAAUCAAAUAAGUUGGUUAGGAUUAGUUUCAGUGGCAUAAACAGAAACUUAAACAAUGUGAAAGCUUAUUUCUGUCUCCUUCUGCCAGGUGAACACACAGUGUUCAUCCCCUCAGGAGGACACAGCUUUUGAGGUACCAUCUUGGAAGCAGAGACCAGCCCUCACUAGACACAAACUUCCUGGCACGUUGAUUUUGGACUUCAUAGCCUCUAGAACUUUAUUCAGAGGCUGCUCUACUGAGAAGAUGAACAAAUUUCUUGUCCAAAACAAUGUAUUUCAAACGUGCCCCUCGGGCCUUUCCCGUGUUGCUCACUGGUGCUGGGAAGACAACACUUCUGAACUAUAUUUUGACAGAGCAACAUAGUAAAAGAGUAGCGGUCAUUUUAAAUGAAUCUGGGGAAGGAAGUGCGCUGGAGAAAUCCUUAGCUGUCAGCCAAGGUGGAGAGCUCUAUGAAGAGUGGCUGGAACUUAGAAACGGUUGCCUCUGCUGU